AAGGUCUUCGGGUUGUAAACUCCUGUCAUUUGGGAACAAGGCCCCGAAAUUAACUACUUCGGGGUUGAUAGUACCAGAAGAGGAAGAGACGGCUAACUCUGUGC
rnacentral:rRNA from 1 species